GUAGCUCAGUUGGUUAGAGCACAUCACUCAUAAUGAUGGGGUCACAGGUUCGAAUCCCGUCGUAGCCACCA
rnacentral:tRNA from 18 species